UACAGAGGUCCCGAGCGUUUGUUCGGAUUCAUUGGGCGUAAAGGGUGCGUAGGCGGUCUUCUAAGUUUGAUGUGAAAUCCCGGGGCUCAACCCUGGCAUGGCAUUGAAUACUGGAGGACUAGAGUACCGGAGAGGAAACUGGAAUUUACGGUGUAGCAGUGAAAUGCGUAGAGAUCGUAAGGAAGACCAGUGGCGAAGGCGAGUUUCUGGACGGUAACUGACGCUGAGGCACGAAGGCCAGGGGAGCAAACGGG
rnacentral:rRNA from 1 species